UCAGUGAGGCGUUCGGACUGGCCCAGGGAGGUCGGCAACGACCACCCAGGGCCGGAAAGUUCGUCAAACUUGGUCAUUUAGAGGAAGUAAAAGUCGUAACAAGGUCUCCGUAGGUGAACCUGCGGAGGGAUCAUU
rnacentral:rRNA from 1 species